rnacentral:rRNA from 1 species
CGCGAAGAACCUUACCUACUCUUGACAUCUACAGAAUCCUGCGGAGACGCGGGAGUGCCUUCGGGAACUGUAAGACAGGUGCUGCAUGGCUGUCGUCAGCUCGUGUUGUGAAAUGUUGGGUUAAGUCCCGCAACGAGCGCAACCCUUAUCCUUGUUUGCCAGCGAGUAAUGUCGGGAACUCCAGGGAGACUGCCGGUGAUAAACCGGAGGAAGGUGGGGACGACGUCAAGUCAUCAUGGCCCUUACGAGUAGGGCUACACACGUGCUACAAUGGCGCAUACAGAGGGCAGCGAACUUGCGAGAGUAAGCGAAUCCCAAAAAGUGYGUMGUAGUCCGGAUUGGAGUCUGCAACUCGACUCCAUGAAGUCG